AUCGUUACCCUUCCAUUUUCAAUGGACACGAACCUCUUGAAGUUCUCGCGAGCGCUAUACCCUCCAUGCCCAAAUUGGCUUCCCCUUCCAAAUCAAUUUUCCAGGCUGGAAGAGUGAAUAGUUGCUCCUAUGUAUCUAGGAUUAAGCUCGUUUGAAAGUUCUCAAGUUUAAGUGUAUCAUUUCAUAAACUUGUUUGAUUUGCACAAGUGGAGGAUGCAUAAUUGGUGUCUAUCACAAAUAUUUGCAAAAGUGUGCAGGUCCUAGUUGAGGAGUAUGCAAAGAUCCACAUGACUAGCAGUAUCUAAAAGAGGAAGGAGCAUGAUGAUGGGUGGGGUGACCACACCAACCGGUUGAUGUAUACUCAUUAUUAGAGCAAUUGGAUUUAUUGCACUUCAAGUUACAAACCGACUUACACUCUUGUCUAUAGUUAUGAGUUUAUAAUUUUUGUGCUUGACAAACUCAACAUUAUAUUAAUUUGAAGAAUCUUGUGUAUAAACUCAACUAUUUAUUAUUAAAUUUUAAUUUAUGUA